AGAGAACAUCUUGAACUCCGACUGGAUGGAAAAUCAGGUGCUUCUACCAGCACAAGGGGAAGUCAGGCAGCCACAGCCCAUGUCCACUUCGACUUCGGCCUCACGGUCCCAGUGACCUGCCGAGUGGGAAGAGCCGUGGCUGGCCGGUCUCCCAGUGGCGACGACGACCUCGCUGUGUUCGUGGCAGCGGCACUCUCAAAUCUGGGCACGGUGAUGGGAAGGUUAUUUGUUGGAAUCCCUUUGCCUUUCCAAGGGAAAAUAAACACAAAAAGUGAGAA